CAUUUUAAUAUUUCAGAGAUCUUCACAGAAACUGUACAUUUAUCAGGAAUAAGGCUGCAGCAUGCUAACUACAACCAAGUUUACUUGAACUUUUAAAUCACUCGUGGGACCGGCAAAAUUGACACAUGGAUAAAGGCUUUUGCUUCCAGGACUGGAGACCUGAAUUGUAGAGGAGGGUUAGAGGGACAUAGAGAAGAAAGUGCCUGACACGGUGACUUCUUGCUUCUGGAAGACAUUGAGAAGAGAAAGGGUAGGAUGGCUUAGGGGUGGGCUUCCAGACAGGACCAAUAAGAGAAAGAGGACAACCCUAUGAAACACCCAAGGGUCCAGUGAGCAGACUUCCAGCCUUAGCGUCCCUCCUGCCCUGAAGGGAUGAAGCGGUAACUUAUGCUUUCUCUGCGACUUGGUCUUCUGUCUUCCCAGACAUUUUGAUUCUUUGUGCCAGGGAACACACUUGGAGGUCCCCUAGAAGACUACCAGCACCCCUGUUACAUUUCUUGGGGUCUCUCAUCUGGAAUUUGAGAAGACCUCUUCUCAAGGUAGUACACCUCACUGAAUCUCAAGAAGGACUUGAAAGUGGACAAAAUGAUCUUUCAGCACUCCCAGGGACCCUUCAAACGGGACAGAGGUUUCUCCCAAGAAAACCAGGGCAGAAGCCUACGCCACCACUCCUAAGUCAAGAGACAAGGCAAACCUUCCUGACCCCGAGGAAAUGGUCAUCUUCCCAGGAAGGAAGAUUCUGGGGCUGUAGAGAUGAAUCAGCGUGUAAGAAUACUUGCUGUUAAGAAGAGGACCUGACUUCAACUUCCAAUCAUCCAUGUAAAAGCUGGGUGUGGCCAUACAUGCCAGUAAACCCAGCACUGAGGGACCUAGGACAUUCUGAUGUACCCCUAAAGAUUACAACACAACUACUGUUGUCUUCUCCCUUAAGAGUUAAUCCAGUUGGGCCUAUCAGUUAAUUGGCCAGAGAACAAUUCUUGGGAAAGCAGAUUCACCUGCUAAGGAGAUUGGAGGAAUAAUUAUACCCUUAUUGAAAUAAUUUGCUGUGAUGACUAUUCUUGGUUGUCAACUUGCCUAUAUCUGGAAUGAACUAUAAUCCAGAAAUGGAGGGCACAUUUGUGAUCCUGAUCUUGGGGCAAGAAGACAAUAUGCCUUUGAUUCAGAUCUUGAGGCUGGAAGAUACAUGCCUGUAAUCCAGACCUUGAGGCUGGAAGGCACACCUUUAAUCUGAGCCACACCUUCUGCUGGAAGCCUAUAUAAGAACAAUGGAAGAAGAAAGGGUUCAUUCUUUGCCUGCUUGCCCUCACCUCGCUAGCACAUCUAUUCCUUCACUGGCAUUGAAGCCUUGCUUCUUCAGGAUUUCAGCAUCUGUAGAAGACCAUCUGGGACACUCAACUUUAUGGGACUGAGCAACUACUAGAUUCUUGGACUUUUCAUUCACAACUAGCCAUUGUUGGACUGCAGCCUAUAAGUCGAGAGAGAGAGAGAGAGAGAGAGAGAGAGAGAGAGAGAGAGAGAGAGAGAGAGAGAGAGAGAGAGAGAGAGAGAGAGAUUGAUUCCAUAAGUUCUGUGACUCUAGAGAACCCCGACUCAUACAGAUUUUGGUACCAGAGUGGUUCUAGAGAAACAGAAGUAUAAGGAUGACUCUUUUAAGUGUCUGGAAUAGGCUUUUUAAUUCACCAGCACCUUCAAAUUCACCAGAACCUUCAACUACUGAAACCUCUCCAGUCACUUUCUCUCUUGGGAACUCAGAAAGUACUAAAAGUUCAUGGUGUAAACUGUAUUUCAGACUUAAAAGAGAUAAAUGCCUUUAGUUACCUUGAUUCAUCAGUAGUGAGUGGCAAUGGAUUUAGUGAUGUUAUAUAUGAAACUUUUGACAUUUUGGGGGAAAAUGCUGCUGUUGGUUGGUUGCUCUUAAUCUCUCUGGAUAAAUUGCUAAAGGAUAGGAAUGAGCUCCAUGAUAAACUUAACCAACUUCAGAAUACAAUGAAGGACAACGAUGAACUUGGUGAUGAAGUUGGCCGGCUCCAGAUGAGAAUAAACAGUCUAAAGUUUUCUAAGUGUGCCAUGGACGAGAAUCUUCUCUCCAGCAGCCACAGAGUUCCAGUUGCAGAAAAUGAAACUGAAGCCCUCAUUAUAAGGUUGGCUGAACUACAGCCAAAAUUCAAGUCUCAGCCUCAGUGGUGUCGGCGGUUAAAGUAAGGGCAUUAAUUGGUUAAGAAUGGGAUCCUGCCGGGCAGUGGUGGCGCACGCCUUUAAUCCCAGCACUCGGGAGGCAGAGCCAGGCGGAUCUCUGUGAGUUCGAGGCCAGCCUGGUCUCCAAAGUGAGUUCCAGGAAAGGCGCAAAGCUUCACAGAGAAACCCUGUCUCGAAAAACCAAAAAAAAAAAAAAAAAAAAAAAAGAAUGGGAUCCUGUCACUUGGGACGGGGAUGUGUGGGAAGACCCGAUGGAAGCUGAGAACUUUGAACCCUCAGAUUCUCAAGGACUUAUCUCACCUGAGUACCCUCAACUCCACCCUUUUCACCUCCACUGAGGAAAUUAAUCCUUCAGUGUCUGCUAAACCAUCAGGGAGUUUUUCUGAAGGAAAUGUCCUGCAAGACAAUACCAAUGUCCCUCAAGGCCCACCACUAGUUGCCUCUAGACCUAUAACCAGACUCAAGGCAAAGUGGGUGUUCCUAGAGGGGAGGUAGAAAGUGUAGUCCAUGAGGAAGUACCUUACACUACUAAGGAGCUUAAUGAUUUUGCUAAAUUGUUCAAGCAUAAGUCUGGGGAAUAUGUGUGGGAAUGCAUUUUAAGGGUGUGGGAUAAUGGUGGAAGGAACAUAAAACUAGAUCAGGAUGAGUUUAUUUUAUUGAUAUGGGCACAUAUUAAACCUUGAGUGCCACCAUCAAGGACUUGAUUUGAGCUUCCAUAUUAAACCUAGAAUGGUUUAAUAUGGAAGCUCACACAGUUAAAAAAAGGUGUGAAAACCUUGUUUGAAUGGUUGGCUGAAGUGUUUAUCAAAAGAUGGCCUACUGAAAAAGAAGUUGGGGAUGCCUGAUAUCCCUUGGCUUGGUGUUGAUGAAGGGAUUUUAAGGCUCCAGGAAAUUGUAAUGCUAGAGAGUGUAUACCAUGUAAAACUCAAUCCUCCACAAUAGGAAGACCCAGAAGACAUGCCCUUCACGAAUCCUAUAAGAUGCACAAUGGCAAGGGGCACCAGCACAUUUGACAAGUUUUGUUGUCACCCUUUUCCUUGUGCCAGACCUUAGGGUUGAAGAUGCUGCUGCUCAGUUGGAUAAACAAAUGCAAUGGGUUUAAUUGGGCCCUGAAAUAGCAGGGGCCAGAUGGCAGCACAAAAUCACCAAAGGCAAGGUGAUCAUAGUUAUUGUAAUGGGCAACACAGACAAAACAAUGUUCAUAAUGGCCUGACCCAUAAUGCUCAGCACAGGCAAGGAGAAUUUUAUAGUGGCAUGACUUGUAUGGACCUUUGUUACUGGCUAAUCAAUCAUGGUGUUUCCAGGUAUGAAAUAGAUAAGAAUUCUACUGCAUUUCUGUUCGAUCUGUACAAGCAGGAAAAUUCUCAAACAAAAGAAAGUAAGGCUGCAUUGGAUCAUGGCAAAAGGCAGUCAAUCUGGGCCAAUGAAUCAAUUUCAAAACAGACUUGAGCCUGUUUGCAGACCCCAAACCCCUUGAACGAAGGGGUGGCCAGGUUCCCCCAAGGAAGAACCCUGAUUAGGUACCUAAAAGUUUAGCCUUUCUCCAAUUCUUCCUCAGAGGCACCUACGGCCUUUACAGGGUAAGUAUACACUAAAAGAAAGGAAACAAUCAGACUUCCAGGGUCUGUUGGACCCUGGAAGGUCCAUUAAAUCUUAAAUCCAUUGCCACUCACUACUGAUGAAUCAAGGUAAUUAAAGGCAUUUAUCUCUUUUAAGUCUGAAAUACAGUUUACACCAUGAACUUUUAGUACUUUCUGAGUUCCCAAGAGAGAAAGUGACUGGAGAGGUUUCAGUAGUUGAAGGUUCUGGUGAAUUUGAAGGUGCUGGUGAAUUAAAAAGCCUGAAAAAGGGUUCUGAAUUGUCACUAAUUUUGGGAGACCUCAAGAGACACUGUGGCCCUCCAGUUAAAGUAGGGGCUUAGGGAGGCCAGGUUAUUAAUGGAGUUGUGGCUGAUGUCUGACUCACAGUAGGUCUAGUGGGUCCCCGAACUCAUCCUGUGGUUAUUUCCCCAGUUCCAGAAUGUAUAAUUGGGAUACAUAUACUUAGAAGUUGGCAGAGUUCUUACAUUGGUUCCCUGACCUGUGGAGCGAGGGCUAUUAUGGUUGGAAAGGCUAAGUGGAAGCCUUUAGAGUAGCCUUUGCCAAAGAAAAUAGUGAAUAAAAAAACAGUAUCACAUCCUUGGAGGAAUUGCAGAAAUUAGUGCCACCAUCAAGGACUUGAAAGACGGAGAGGUGGUGGUUCCCACCACAUCUGUCUUUACCUCUCCUAUCUGGCCAGUGCAGAAGACAGAUGGAUAGUGGAGAAUGACAGUUGCCUAUCAAAAACUCAGCGAGGUAGUAACUCUAACUACAGCUGCUGUGCCAGAUGUGGUGUCCUUACUUGAGCAAAUUAACACAUAUCCUGGUACAUGAUAUGCAGCUAUUAAUUUAGCAAAUGCCUUUUUCUCAAGUACCUGUCCUUAAGAACCACCUGAAGCAAUUUGCUUUCAGUUGGCAAGGCCAGCAGUAUACCUUUACUGUUCUGCCUCAGGGAUCUAUUAACUCUCUUGCCCUGUGUUAUAACUUAGUUAGAAGGGAUCUUGAUGGUCUGUCUCUUCCACAAAAUAUUAAUUACAUUGGUUACAUUGGUGUAUUAUAUUGUUGACAUUAUGCUGAUUGGACCAAGUGAGCAGGAGGUAGCAACCACUUUGAACUCAUUGGUAACACAUAUGCUUGUCAGAGGAUGGGAAAUAAAUGCAACCAAAAUUCAAGGACUCUAGAGAACGCUGACUAAUACAACACCCCAGAAGCUCUCACUCAGGGCAGCUGCUUGCUGGUCUUUACUGAUAAGUCUGCCCAUUUUUUUCUGAGUUUUAACUUUAAUCAUUUUAUCUCCCCCACCCCCAUUUUACCUCUUCUUUGAAUACGAAGCCCAAAUUUAAAACAUGUUUGCCCUGAUACUCUGGGCUUUCUCAGUGUUUCUCUGAAACUUUCCCUCCAUCUGUCCCUUCUAUUGUUUGCACACCUCCAUUGUUGACCCUAACUCAAAAGACAACUUUCUUCCUGUUCUCCAUCUUCUUUUUCUUGAAAACUUCCAGGACUUGUGAUUUGUCUACUCUUUGUAGCUAGAGUUUUCCUGCCUGGCCCACGGUCAGGACAAAUCUCUCUCACCUGCCAGUCCCACAGUCGCUCAGACCCAACCAAGUAAACAGAGACUCAUAUUGCUUACAAACUGUAUGGCUGUGGCAGGCUUCUUGCUAACUGUUCUUAUAGCUUAAAUUAAUCCAUUUCCAUAAAUCUAUACCUUGCCACGUGGCUCGUGGCUUACCGGCAUCUUCACAUGCUGUUUGUCAUCAUGGCGGCUGGCACUGUCUCUCCCACCUUUCUGUUCUCUCAAUUCUCCUCUCUGUUAACCCCGCCUAUGCUUCCUGCCUGGCCACUGGCCAAUCAGUGUUUUAUUUAUUGACCAAUCAGAGCAUUUGACAUACAGACCAUCCCACAGCAACUCUUCAUGUUUCUCUCAAACUCUACUUCAAUGGUCCCAAAGCUUCUUUCUGAAGCCAUUUUAAAGUUAUUUAUCCACAAUGCUGAGAAGCUACAAAAGGGAACUUCAUUGAAGCUUUUUGUUUUCAAUGUAGCCUCUGCUACACUGUCGGAAGACACUGCUGGCUGGUCAGAGGUUACAGCCUCCCCAGGGCCUAAAGCUCAGUAACAUGGAGCUCCCUCCAUCCAGGAGAACUUCCUGCCUCUACCUGCCCUUAUUUGGAGACUGUCUCCGGUCCUGAAGAACUAAUCUUAUCUAAAAGCUGUCUCUAAAACCAGAUGCCUGAUUCAUCUGUAGCUUGGCCCUUGGCACAGAUCUCUGCUCAGAGACUUGUGCUAGGGACCCUACUGCCACAUACAAAGCUUUGUGAUAGGAGCACGCCACUUACUGCAAUUAGGGUUUAUCCCCGGGCUCCUUAAUCCUUAUAUAUUCCUGAUGUUUUGAAAUAAAAUGAGCUAAUUUACCGAAAUCUGUCUCUAGGGAGGGCUGUCUCCGUCUGUGCUCAUGGACCGCCAAAGAUUUCUGUCACCCCAUCUGCCUCUUUUGCCUCUCGACCUGGUGGCCAACAGGCUGAGGGGGGAAGAGGACCCCUACACUACAUUUUCUAAUCUAGAAUUGUUUGGUGUGAGUCAAUCGUAAGGAACCCAAAAAUCUUCCCACAGUUUUGUCUGAUGCACAGGCAGAAUAUAUUUGGACCUGAGCCAAUGUGGCUAAUUGUGGGGCUUCUCCUACCUAAAACUCUUUCCAGGAGGUCACCUGACCUCACUGGGCUGAAUGCCUUUGUUAUCUCCUUGUAGACUAAACAGGAGAAAUCAUUGAAACCAGUCCAUGAUCACAUGUGUUCUGAGCCUGAGGCACAGCAACCUGGGACAGAAUUCUGGGAAGGAGGACCAUCUUCAAGGCAGACAGGAUGAAGGAAAAAGACCACUGUGUUCUUGCUCAUCUUUCUUUCCUUCAAAAAAAAUGUCCCCCUAUCCUUCCACUGAUUUUUAUACAUCAGCAAGGAGAGGGGCAAAGGACCUCCCCCUUUCAAGGUUGAGGUAUAAAGUAUCAACAAGUAUAGACCCUUCAAAACACCUGAUAGCCACCCCUUUGGCCAAAUCACCUCAUUAUGCAACCCUACUGAACAAAGCAAGCUCAGACUUUCUGACCUUGAGUAAGGCCUAACUAGGGAACCUCUGUGUAUUCCCACAGAUUAAAUCAAGACACUUUUCAAAUCCAUUGAUGGAAACAUUAGACAGGUUGUAGCACAGUAGGGAAAUCUCUUCUAGGGAUGCUCUGGACCACCAACAUUCCAGCCUCUCUACAAUUGUGUAAGAGUUAAUCAAGCUGUUUAUAGGGGCUCAUGCCUUUAAUCUCAGCAUUCAGGAGGCAGAGGCAGUUCACGGCUAGCAUGGUGUACAUGGAGAGUUCCAGGAUAGCCAGGGCUACACAGAGAGGCCUUAUUUCAAAAACUAAAACAAAAGCCCCAAAACAACAAACAUCAAAAACCAACAAACAAAAAACAAACAAAAAUUAUUUAGUCAGUAAAGUAGCCUUGUAGAAAGUUAAGUAGGCGUGGUUACUUUCUCUGAAUUUUUAUUUGGGGUGGGGUUAAGGCAGGGGUCAGCAUUGUUUGUCUUUCUGCCCAAUUUGAUCUUCUGUUCUUUUAGCAUUCCAUUGUGUUCACUUCUCCAUCUUAGGUACUUUUCUAUCGCUGUAAAGAGGUGUCAUGACCAAAGCAGCUUAUAGGAGAAAAAGCUGAUUGGAGGUUUACAGUCAGGCAGACAGGCACGGUGCUGGAGCCAUAGCUGAGAGCUUACACCUGAUCCCCAAACACAAGGCACACAUACACACACACACCACACAC